AGCACCAUUUUCAUCCGGAGACAUUUUAGCCAGGGAGAGCACGCGCUCUCAACUAAAGCGCUAAGUAUAUAAAAAAAACUAGAUUAAAUGUAUCAUAUAGACAGUUUGUAAUCAUAUCUGAUAGCAAAGAAAUGACAUAACCUUGUUGAAAGGUUUAAUAAAUAAAAUGUGCUCACUUUGAAGAUGGACAAGCGGCUCACGUGGCAGCAGCGUGGGUAGGCCUUGGAUCUGGACCCACGUGAAUUUCAGAGAUAACAUGGUGAUGGCUUAUCAAAAGGAAGGCGACUGGUUAUGAAUUUAAAUAUUGUAUCUAUAUAAUAAACAUUUAUAUCCAUACCUUGGUCUGAUUGUUUUUCUUUUCAACCUUUGCACUAAAUGAUCUGGAAUGGUCUGUUUCUUUGCCAUUUCCGCAGGUCAAAAUGAGUGCUAGAUUAAAUAAAGUCCUGUCAUAACUGGAGUUUCUUGGCAUUUUUCUACCAAGAUGCUCUUUUAAAGCAUGACACAAAUGGCUGCAGUGUGUACUGACAAAAUAGUUUAGAUUGGUUUUAUCAUUUUUAAGUAAAUGUCAUGAUACAUUUUUAUUUUUUGAAGGCCUAAAAAUCUUUUCAAUCCCAUUUGAUGGUAAAUUCCAAUUAGAUAUUCAAACUUUACAAAUUUUAAGUUGAAUAACUUGAUCUGAGCCUUUUUUGUGGGUCUUGAAACAAGACCAGGUUAUAAGCCUACAAAUGGUUGUGUGGUGGUUUUUCAGGCUAUGGCGGUUACAUUUAAUAUCAGGCUUAGUAUUUACUUUUGUGCUUUUAUAAAUUAUUUGACAGUAUCGUGUUGCAGCCAAUAACUCCCAAUAGCUUCUAAAAGUUUGCUCAGUUUUAAUUUGUUGUGGAUUUUGUCUAUUCCACAUAGUCAGUUGUACUAGCAGUCUUCCAUAUUCUUAGAUAUUGGAAUACUGCUCUGGAAAUGUUGCAUACUUGGUUUUCUGUCCUAGAGCCAGAUAUUAAACAGCCUUGUGAAGAUCA